rnacentral:rRNA from 1 species
CCCUUAGAUGUUCUGGGCCGCACGCGCGCUACACUGACGAAGUCAGCGAGCAUGUCCUACGCCGACAGGUGCGGGUAAUCUUGUCAAACUUCGUCGUGAUGGGGAUUGAUUAUUGAAAUUCUUGAUCAUCAACGAGGAAUUCCUAGUAAGCGCAAGUCAGCAGCUUGCGUUGAUUACGUCCCUGCCCUUUGUACACACCGCCCGUCGCUACUACCGAUUGAAUGGUUUAGUGAGAUCUUCGGAUUGGCGCCACUGCGGCUCAGCAAUGGGCUCGGUGGAUGCCGAAAAGUUGAUCAAACUUGAUCAUUUAGAGGAAGUAAAAGUCGUAACA